rnacentral:ncRNA from 1 species
AGGUAGUGACGAAAAAUAACAAUGCAGGACUCGUUCGAGGCCCUGUAAUUGGAAUGAGUACACUUUAAUAGCUUUAACGAGUAUCCAUUGGAGGGCAAGUCUGGUGCCAGCAGCCGCGGUAAUUCCAGCUCCAAAAGUAUAUAUUUAAGUUGUUGCGGUUAAAAAGCUCGUAGUUGGAUUUUGGGCGCAGGCGGCCGGUCCGUCGCAAGGCGUGUACUGGACGUCCUGGCCUUCCCUCCGGUUCUCCGCCGGUGCUCUUGACUGAGUGUCGGCGGCGGCCGGAACGUUUACUUUGAAAAAAUUAGAGUGUUCAAAGCAGGCUCUCGAGCCUGGAUAAUGGUGCAUGGAAUAAUGGAAUAGGACCUCGGUUCUAUUUUGUUGGUUUUCGGAGCGCGAGGUAAUGAUUAAGAGGGACAGACGGGGGCAUUCGUACUGUGCCGUUAGAGGUGAAAUUCUUGGAUCGGCGCAAGACGAACGACUGCGAAAGCAUUUGCCAAGAAUGUUUUCUUUAAUCAAGAGCGAAAGUCAGAGGUUCGAAGACGAUCAGAUACCGUCCUAGUUCUGACUAUAAACGAUGCCAACUAGCGAUCGGGGGGCGUUACAUUGACGACCCCUCCGGCAGCUUACGGGAAACCAAAGUCUUUGGGUUCCGGGGGAAGUAUGGUUGCAAAGCUGAAACUUAAAGGAAUUGACGGAAGGGCACCACCAGGAGUGGAGCCUGCGGCUUAAUUUGACUCAACACGGGAAAUCUCACCCGGCCCGGACACAGUGAGGAUUGACAGAUUGAGAGCUC